rnacentral:rRNA from 1 species
GAUGAACGCUGGCGGCGUGCUUAACACAUGCAAGUCGAACGGAAAGGCCUCUGCUUGCAGGGGUGCUCGAGUGGCGAACGGGUGAGUAACACGUGGGUAAUCUGCCCUGCACUUUGGGAUAAGCCUAGGAAACUGGGUCUAAUACCGGAUAGGACCUUGGUUUGCAUGCUGUUGUUGAAAGAUUUUCGGUGUGGGGUGAGCUCUCGGCCUUUCAGCGUGUUGGUGGGGGGGUGGCCUAUUACAACGUCUACGGGGAGACGGCGUGUGAGGGGGUAGGCGGACAGUUUGGGUGAGAUAUGGCGCAGACACCUACGGGAGGCAGCAGUGUGGAGUAUAUUGCAAUAUGCGCAAGCCUGAGACAGAGAAGCGGCGUGGGGGAUGACGGGCUUCUGGUUGUGAACUCCUUUUGCGAGUGUGGAGGAGUGUGAGUGACGGUACUGGGAGAAGAAGCACCGGCUAACUACGUG